AGCAGCCGCGGUAAUUCCAGCUCCAAUAGCGUAUAUUAAAGUUGUUGCAGUUAAAAAGCUCGUAGUUGAAUUUCGGGGUUCAUCCGUUGGUCGGGCUUUUUUGGUCUGUACUGGCGUGAUGGAUUCCUACCUUCUGAAUAACCAGCAUGUCAUUAAUUUGGUGCGCUGGGGAAGCAGGACUGUUACCUUGAAAAAUUAGAGUGCUUAAAGCAGGCUAUCGCCUGAAUACAUUAGCAUGGAAUAAUGAAAUAGGACGGCAUGGUUCUAUUUUGUUGGUUUCUAGGAUCACCGUAAUGAUUAAUAGGGAUAGUUGGGGGCAUUAGUAUUCAAUUGUCAGAGGUGAAAUUCUUGGAUUUAUUGAAGACUAACCUCUGCGAAAGCAUUUGCCAAGGAUGUUUUU
rnacentral:rRNA from 1 species